UGUUAGUGGAAGCGUCUGGAAAGGCGUGCGAUACAGGGUGACAGCCCCGUACACAAAAAUGCACAUAUUGUGAGCUUGAUGAGUAGGGCGGGACACGUGGUAUCCUGUCUGAAUAUGGGGGGACCAUCCUCCAAGGCUAAAUACUCCUGACUGACCGAUAGUGAACCAGUACCGUGAGGGAAAGGCGAAAAGAACCCCGGCGAGGGGAGUGAAAAAGAACCUGAAACCGUGUACGUACAAGCAGUGGGAGCACGCUUAGGCGUGUGACUGCGUACCUUUUGUAUAAUGGGUCAGCGACUUAUAUUCUGUAGCAAGGUUAACCGAAUAGGGGAGCCGAAGGGAAACCGAGUCUUAACUGGGCGUUAAGUUGCAGGGUAUAGACCCGAAACCCGGUGAUCUAGCCAUGGGCAGGUUGAAGGUUGGGUAACACUAACUGGAGGACCGAACCGACUAAUGUUGAAAAAUUAGCGGAUGACUUGUGGCUGGGGGUGAAAGGCCAAUCAAACCGGGAGAUAGCUGGUUCUCCCCGAAAGCUAUUUAGGUAGCGCCUCGUGAAUUCAUCUCCGGGGGUAGAGCACUGUUUCGGCAAGGGGGUCAUCCCGACUUACCAACCCGAUGCAAACUGCGAAUACCGGAGAAUGUUAUCACGGGAGACACACGGCGGGUGCUAACGUCCGUCGUGAAGAGGGAAACAACCCAGACCGCCAGCUAAGGUCCCAAAGUCAUGGUUAAGUGGGAAACGAUGUGGGAAGGCCCAGACAGCCAGGAUGUUGGCUUAGAAGCAGCCAUCAUUUAAAGAAAGCGUAAUAGCUCACUGGUCGAGUCGGCCUGCGCGGAAGAUGUAACGGGGCUAAACCAUGCACCGAAGCUGCGGCAGCGAUGCUUAUGCGUUGUUGGGUAGGGGAGCGUUCUGUAAGCCUGCGAAGGUGUGCUGUGAGGCAUGCUGGAGGUAUCAGAAGUGCGAAUGCUGACAUAAGUAACGAUAAAGCGGGUGAAAAGCCCGCUCGCCGGAAGACCAAGGGUUCCUGUCCAACGUUAAUCGGGGCAGGGUGAGUCGACCCCUAAGGCGAGGCCGAAAGGCGUAGUCGAUGGGAAACAGGUUAAUAUUCCUGUACUUGGUGUUACUGCGAAGGGGGGACGGAGAAGGCUAUGUUGGCCGGGCGACGGUUGUCCCGGUUUAAGCGUGUAGGCUGGUUUUCCAGGCAAAUCCGGAAAAUCAAGGCUGAGGCGUGAUGACGAGGCACUACGGUGCUGAAGCAACAAAUGCCCUGCUUCCAGGAAAAGCCUCUAAGCAUCAGGUAACAUCAAAUCGUACCCCAAACCGACACAGGUGGUCAGGUAGAGAAUACCAAGGCGCUUGAGAGAACUCGGGUGAAGGAACUAGGCAAAAUGGUGCCGUAACUUCGGGAGAAGGCACGCUGAUAUGUAGGUGAAGUCCCUUGCGGAUGGAGCUGAAAUCAGUCGAAGAUACCAGCUGGCUGCAACUGUUUAUUAAAAACACAGCACUGUGCAAACACGAAAGUGGACGUAUACGGUGUGACGCCUGCCCGGUGCCGGAAGGUUAAUUGAUGGGGUCAGCGCAAGCGAAGCUCUUGAUCGAAGCCCCGGUAAACGGCGGCCGUAACUAUAACGGUCCUAAGGUAGCGAAAUUCCUUGUCGGGUAAGUUCCGACCUGCACGAAUGGCGUAAUGAUGGCCAGGCUGUCUCCACCCGAGACUCAGUGAAAUUGAACUCGCUGUGAAGAUGCAGUGUACCCGCGGCAAGACGGAAAGACCCCGUGAACCUUUACUAUAGCUUGACACUGAACAUUGAGCCUUGAUGUGUAGGAUAGGUGGGAGGCUUUGAAGUG
rnacentral:rRNA from 1 species